CCUUGUACACACCGCCCGUCAAGCCACGGAAGUUGACAGUACCCGAAGUCGUGCACCCCAACCGCAAGGAGGGGAAGCGCCCACGGUAAGGUCGAUGACUGGGACU
rnacentral:rRNA from 1 species